rnacentral:tRNA from 1 species
GGGGGUUUGGCUCAGUGGUAGAGCACUUGCCUAGCAAGCGCAAGGCCCUGGGUUCGGUCCCCAGCUCCG